GGUGAACGCUGGCGGUGUGGAUAAGGCAUGCAAGUCGAAUGGGUUUAGACCCAUGGCAGACGAGGUAGUAACACGUAGGUACAUCCCCCAGAGUCGGGCAUAACCAGUCGAAAGAUUGGAUAAUACCCGAUGGUCCCGCAAGGGUAAAGAUUUAUCGCUUUGGGAGUGGCCUGCGUCGUAUCAGCUUGUUGGUAAGGUAAUGGCUUACCAAGGCUAUGACGCGUAGGGGAGGUGAGAGCCUGACCCCCACCGAUGGAACUGAGACACGGUCCAU
rnacentral:rRNA from 1 species